AGUUUUGAAGGGUAAUCAACUUUUUCACCUACCUGCCGGGCUGUUCAACACCACAACCAAAUUACGAAACGUGAAUUUGUGGAAUAAUAAACUUGUUGACCUACCAGCCGGGCUGUUCAAUGUGACAACCGAAUUAGAAUACCUAGAUUUGGAGGACAAUCAACUUGUUUACCUACCUGACGGGCUGUUCAAAGCCACAACCAAAUUACAAUACCUAUACUUGACGUCUAAUCAACUUGUUCACCUACCUGAUGGGCUGUUCAAAGCCACAACCAAAUUAGAAGAACUGGUUUUGUGGGACAAUAAACUUGUUGACCUACCUGCCGGGCUGUUUGACGCGACAACCGAAUUGAGACACCUGGAUUUGGACGGUAAUCCACUUGUUCACCUACCUGACGGGCUGUUCAAAGCCACAACCAAAUUAAAAGAACUGCUUUUGCAAUAUAAUAAUCUCCGCUAUCUUCCCAGUGGACUGCCUCAUGACACACCUCAC